AGCUCUGAUUUCCCCUCAUCUUGCUUCCACUGCCCCAGCAGAGCCCUCUGCCCGCUAGCAGGUGUUGCUGGCUCUCCCCUUGGCAUUAUGAAUCCUCAUGGGGCAGGGGCUCUGCUGCGGUCCUCCCGGGUCCCCAGUGUCUGGCACAGAACGAGUGCCCAGCAGACACUGGAAUGACUGUGGAAAGGCAGGAUGAGGGCCUGGCACCUGCGCCUUCCUCCAGAGCGUCUCCCCUCCUGACGUGGAUCCCAGUGCGGGCUGGGCACGGAGGAGCCCAAAUGUUCUCUGUGGGCUCCCUGUUGCCCCCCUGCCUCCCUCCUGACUUGUUUGAGCCUCCCUGGGUUGGGAGAAGGACCUGGGGAGCCACAGGGAGGACCUGGGCAGCCUGUCUCCUCACCCCCUCCUGCUGGCUGCUUAGACGGGAAGUACGACAAGGGCAGGAUUUUAUCUGAGUCAUUCGCUAAUGUGUCCCGAGUGUCAGGAACAGUGUCUGGCACAGAGAGGUCACUCAGUCAACAUUUGCAUGAAUGAAUGCUGCAAAGCGCUGGAAGUGGCUUUCUAUGGGGCAUCGAAAUACCUGGAACCUGACAGUAACAUAGGAGCUUUUUUUUUUUAUUGCCUUUUUGCCAUUUUGCCUUUUCUAGGGCCAUUCCUGUGGCAUAUGGAGGUUCCCAGGCUAGGGCUGCCGGCCUACACCACAGCCAGAGCAACACGGGAUCCGAGCCACAUCUGCGACCUACACCACAGCUCACGGCAACACUGGAUCCUUAACUCACCCUGAGUGAGGCCAGGGAUCAAACCUGUGUCCUCACGGAUGCUAGUUAGGUUCAUUAUUGCUGAGCCACAGUGGGAGCUCCUCCGAGAUGGUUUAUUUUUUCAAUGUGUUCCUGUUUCUUUUUUUCCCCCAUAUUAGAAAAUUUUAUUGAAGUCGAGCUGAUUUACAAAUUGUGGUCAUUUCUGCUGUACAGCAAAGUGAUUCAGUUACACAUAGACACACAUCCAUUCUUUUUCAGAUUCUUUUCCCAUCUAGAUUAUCACAGAAUAUUGAUUGCGUAGAGUUCCCUGUGCUGACAGCAGGUCCCCACUGGCCAGGCAUUCAGUGUACAGUGUACAUGUGCCCAUCUCAAAUCCCCAGUUCACCCUUUCCCCCACCCCACCUGUCUCCUUUGGUCACCAUAAGUUUGUUUAAAGUCUGUGAGUCUGUUCUGCAAUAAAUUCAUUUUUAUCUUUUUUUUUAGAUUCCACAUAUAAGUGAUGUCAUGUGAUGUUUGUUUUUCACUGUCUAACUUCACUUAGUAUCUCUAGGUCCCAUCCAUGUUGCUGCAAAUGGCAUUAUUUUAUUCCUUUUUAUGGCUGAGUAAUAUUCCAUUUUGGGUGUACUUGGGUACCACAUUCUUUAUACAGCAUACAUACAGGUCUUGUUUUUGUAUCCAUUCAGCCAGCCUAUGUCAUUUGGUUGGAGCAUUUAGUCCAUUUACAUUUAAGGUAGUUAUUGAUAUGUAUGUUCUUAUUGCCUUUGGUUAAUUAUUUUGGAUUUGUUUUUGUCGAUUUUCUCUGGCCCUUUAUCGCUUGGCCUUUAUUCUUCCCUUUUGUUCUCUUGUGGUUUGAUGACUAUCUUCAGUGUUGUGUUUGAAUUGCAUCUAUUGUAGAUUUUUGGUUUGUGGUAACCGUGAGGUUUUGAUGUAGGAGUCUGUAUGUACACACAAGAUUGCUUUAAGUUGCUGGUCUCUUAAUUGCAAAUAGCUGGGGAGAUAUGAAUAAGGAUAAUAAGUAUAGCUAACAUUUCAGACAGCUACGGCUUUUCCAAGCCGGUUUUUUUUUUUUUUUUUCCUAUAAUCUCUCCUGCAGCCGAAUGGACUGCGUGCCCUUAAUAGUCGUGGCUUUUGUGCCUCAUUAUUCCUGGAUUGCCAGCGCUCAUUGGUCCUGUACUGAACACAGCCCCCACCCUGAGCGCUUAGCGUCAGAGCAAUACCGACAACACAAAACAAACACAGAAGAAACAAACCCUGUUGGACGCCUAGGGCUCUCAGAGGUUAGCUGGGUCGAGCUCCCCCAGCUAAGAAGGAUCUUACCCGGGUUAAGAUCUAUGCUUCUCACCUUCACCGUAGAUGCCCUUCACACCACGGGUGUUGGUGGAACACCUGCUGCUAUCCCCCUGGAUGGGGCUGGGACGUUGUGAGACCCGCAAAGCCCAUCCGACAUUCAGGACCUCCCAGCCUCGUAAGGAGGCGUGUGGGUUUCCUAAGGCCACUGUUCAAACGACCACACACUUCGUGGUUUCAAAGAACACAGCUUUAUCAUCUGACAUUCUGGUGGUCAGACAUCUGAUGCGGCCUCACUGCCCAGGGACUUACAGGGCUCUGUUCCUUCUAGAGGCUCCAGGAGAAAAUCUGUGGUCUGGCCUUUUUCAGCUUCUAGAAGCCCCUGUGCUUCUUGGCUCCUGGUCCCUUCCUUCGUUCUCAAAGCCCGCAGCAUCUCGGAGUUCCCACUGUGGCUCAGCAGGUUAAGAACCUGACACAGUGUCCGUGAGGAGGCGUUUCGAUCCCUGGUCUUGCUCAGUGGGUUAAGGGUCCGGUGUUGCCCCAAGCUACGGCGUAGGUCACAGAGGCAACUCAAAUCCUGGGUGGCUGUGGCUGUGGCUGGGGUGUAGGCCAGCAGCUGCAGCUCUGAUUUGACCCCUAGCC
rnacentral:lncRNA from 1 species